CACGUAGGGUGCGAGCGUUGUCCGGAAUUAUUGGGCGUAAAGAGCUCGUAGGCGGUGUGUCGCGUCGGCCGUGAAAACCUGCAGCUUAACUGUGGGCUUGCGGUCGAUACGGGCAUCACUGGAGUUCGGCAGGGGAGACUGGAAUUCCUGGUGUAGCGGUGAGAUGCGCAGAUAUCAGGAGGAACACCGGUGGCGAAGGCGGGUCUCUGGGGCCGAUACUGACGCUGAGGAGCGAAAGCCGUGGGGAGCGAACAGG
rnacentral:rRNA from 1 species